GACUCCUCGCAGUCCGCGAUGGAGGCGAGACCCCCCAGUAACAGAGGUGGUGGCUACUGCUGCGGCCACUGGGUUUCGGUCUCUUCCCAGCAGCGGCUCUAAGAAGCGCAGCGGAACUCGACCGGAUCCAACCCAGUUAGUUACUUCCUGUCUAGAGUUGUAGCUUCCACCUGCACCUUCUAGCCACCAUGGCAACCUCAUCUGAAGAAGUUUUGCUGAUUGUAAAGAAAGUGCGUCAAAAGAAGCAGGAUGGAGCUCUAUACCUCAUGGCAGAAAGAAUUGCUUGGGCACCUGAAGGCAAAGAUAGAUUUACAAUCAGCCAUAUGUAUGCAGAUAUUAAAUGUAAGUCAGCUCUACUAAGUUCUGAUGUAUUUGUAUGUCAUAGUUGCUAGUAAUUUUGUAAAAAGAUUAUAUAAAUAAUCUUUAUUUUAUAUCAAAAAAUCAACCAUGUAGAAAUAAUUACAAAAUGGGGUCACUGAAUAUAUACUGUUUUAUAACCUGACCUUUUCACUUAAUAAAACAGGUACAGGUUUACAUAUAAUAUGUAAAUCUACGUGACGUAUAGAUC
rnacentral:sRNA from 1 species